CUGAAUCUUACUGAAUCUCAUGGGCAUCAAAACAACCCACUAGCCACAGAAGAUGUAACUCACUGGAGAUUAUCCAUUUUCACCCUUGUGGCACCAGCCGUUCUGAAAAAGACAGGCUGGAAACCUCAUGAAGGAUUCCACAAGGGACUGCCAUACAAAUGACCUGGAGACCUGUUUUCAUGGAUGAAGUUAGGAUAGCAUCACCUGCAUUUCCAUCACGAUCCUCUGGCAGAAAAGUCCAUCUACCCUUUUCAGGAGGGAUUUGCACAGUAUAAAGCUCCAAAGAGCCCAAGAGCUGACAGAGGAAAAUGGCAUCCAGCAGCACAGGGCAGCCUCGGCAGCCCAUCAAGAGCAAUACCACAUAAGAGAGCCAGAGGCAGAUCCAGAGCUGCCAACACAACUGCCUACAAAAGCUGCCAAGGAGACAGAAGCUGCUUGUGGGAAAAUAUCACUUAGUCUUAGCAUCUGGGUCCUAUGAUUAUUAUCCAAAGAGAGACAGAGUGGUAAGCUAUGGUGAGAUAAACAGCACCUCAUUCCUCCUUUACCACACACACACAAAUUUCUU